GACGAACGCUGGCGGCGUGCUUAACACAUGCAAGUCGAACGGAAAGGCCCUGCUUUUGUGGGGUGCUCGAGUGGCGAACGGGUGAGUAACACGUGAGUAACCUGCCCUUGACUUUGGGAUAACUUCAGGAAACUGGGGCUAAUACCGGAUAGGAGCUCCUGCUACAUGGUGGGGGUUGGAAAGUUUCGGCGGUUGGGGAUGGACUCGCGGCUUAUCAGCUUGUUGGUGGGGUAGUGGCUUACCAAGGCUUUGACGGGUAGCCGGCCUGAGAGGGUGACCGGCCACAUGGGGACUGAGGUACGGCCCAGACGCCUACGGGAGGCAGCAGUGGGGAAUAUUGCACAAUGGGCGGAAGCCUGAUGCAGCAACGCCGCGUGCGGGAUGACGGCCUUCGGGUUGUAAACCGCUUUCGCCUGUGACGAAGCGUGAGUGACGGUAAUGGGUAAAGAAGCACCGGCUAACUACGUG
rnacentral:rRNA from 1 species